rnacentral:rRNA from 1 species
CAGUCGCGCGGGAAAACGGAGGGUGCAAGCGUUAAUCGGAAUUACUGGGCGUAAAGCGUGCGUAGGCGGUUCGUUAAGUCUGUUGUGAAAGCCCCGGGCUCAACCUGGGAAUGGCAAUGGAUACUGGCGAGCUAGAGUGUGUCAGAGGAUGGUGGAAUUCCCGGUGUAGCGGUGAAAUGCGUAGAGAUCGGGAGGAACAUCAGUGGCGAAGGCGGCCAUCUGGGACAACACUGACGCUGAGGCACGAAAGCGUGGGGAGCAAACAGGAUUAGAUACCCCCGUAGUCCCUGUCUCUUAUACA